CGUAAAGCGCGCGUAGGCGGCUAAUUAAGUCAAAUGUGAAAUCCCCGAGCUUAACUUGGGAAUUGCAUUCGAUACUGGUUAGCUAGAGUGUGGGAGAGGAUGGUAGAAUUCCAGGUGUAGCGGUGAAAUGCGUAGAGAUCUGGAGGAAUACCGAUGGCGAAGGCAGCCAUCUGGCCUAACACUGACGCUGAGGUGCGAAAGCAUGGGGAGCAAACAGGAUUAGAUACCCUGGUAGUCCAUGCCGUAAACGAUGUCUACUAGCCGUUGGGGCCUUUGAGGCUUUAGUGGCGCAGCUAACGCGAUAAGUAGACCGCCUGGGGAGUACGGUCGCAAGACUAAAACUCAAAUGAAUUGACGGGGGCCCGCACAAGCGGUGGAGCAUGUGGUUUAAUUCGAUGCAACGCUAAUAACCUUACCUGGCCUUGACAUAGUAAGAACUUUCCAGAGAUGGAUUGCUGCCUUCGGGAACUUACAUACAGGUGCUGCAUGGCUGUCGUCAGCUCGUGUCGUGAGAUGUUGGGUUAAGUCCCGCAACGAGCGCAACCCUUUUCCUUAUUUGCCAGCGAGUAAUGUCGGGAACUUUAAGGAUACUGCCAGUGACAAACUGGAGGAAGGCGGGGACGACGUCUAGUCAUCAUGGCCCUUACGGCCAGGGCUACACACGUGCUACAAUGGUCGGAACAAAGGGUUGCUACCUAGCGAUAGGAUGCUAAUCUCAAA
rnacentral:rRNA from 1 species